GACCUGGCUUGUUCACCAAACGCCUCAGUGAGAGUGGAUUGUCAGGUAGUUGUGUUUCAAGUGGGUGUGAAGGUUUGUUGUGUUUGGGCAUGUUCGGCAAACUGGCUCCUCGGUCUUGAAAGUCUCAUCUUGUUCCAAAGGUUUAAAACUGAAAUAUUCAUGCUGGUGUGGUGCCAUUCGGUUUUGUGAUUCUUUUGGCAAUGUUCACUACAACAUGCUUACUUCUUGUACUGUGUGAUGCGAGCGGGCUAGCAGCGCCGCUUUGCUACACAAAGAGUCAAAGACACUAAAUGAAGGACAAGAGAGUUUAUCCCCUUCUUUUCUUUACGCUAUGGCGACGAAAAGUGAAAUGUUCUUGAAGCAAGUACAUGGCAAUUUAUCGACACUGGAAAACUUACCGACUUCAUUUUCAUUUAUUGCCAGUUAAUUGACUUAUCGAAUAUCGGCCCAAGCCUAUCUUGACAAGUUUAUUUCCACAACUGUCGUACCUUGCACUGGUCAGAGCUGUGUGAGCCUGUCUUAGAGAUCCCUUUGUGUGAUCAGAAACACUUUGAAUGUGUCCUAACCCUCACAGUCUUGCUGUAUAGCUUUGGCUUUUGAGACAACAGUUUUGAGCUAGCGUCCAGUAGGGUUGGGUAUUGAGUAUCGAUUGGAACCGGGACUAACUUUCCGAUUCUCCCGGAAUCGUUCAAAAGUUUAAAUUUUGAUUCGUAGUUUCGAUACCCAGUCAGCCGACCGGAAAAAAAAAAUAAGUCCGCCGACCGGAAGAAGAAGCCGCUGAACACCAACAAAGAAGCGGCCACUGUCGGAAGUGUUAGCAUAGCCGAGCGAGUCAGUCAAGCAUGAAUAGUGGGCGGCGACGGCCGAAAGUGUGGCUUUAUUUUACUAAAAAAAAUGAAAUAUCAGCGAAAUGUAACACGUGUGACAGGACUCUUUCGUGCUUAGGAGGGUGCACGUCGAACAUGAUGAAGCGCCUCCGUGUUCAUGGUGUACAAAUAAAUGCGUGUCCCAUCUUCGACGCGCUGCUCUGACCGUCCUCCUCUGCCUCUUCCUCUGGCGCCGACAUCCAGCCUGGCACCUCAGUGACUGCACUGCAGUCCGAAUCCGCCAGGCUCCGCGAUGUGCUCAGCGUACUCCGUUCACCGUAGCAGCAAUGGGGAAGAUGUCGGUGCCACAGACGGAAGAGUGCCACAGAAAGGUCACUGCACACACAGUCAAAAGACUGCAUCCCUUUUCAGAGGUGGAAUCUCCAACAUUUAGGGAUAUGGUGAAAACUCUCAACCCAAAAUACAUACCACCUUCCAGGGACUACACGUCAAACACAUUGAUCCCGGCAUGGUACAAGAAGAAUCGGAAUCGUGAAUCAUCAGGAAUCGAAAUCGAAACAAAGAAUCGGAAUCAGAAUUGUUCGAAUUCAAACGAUACCCAACCCUCGCGUCCAGAUGAGUUAGCCUCCGGCUUGUGACACCUUCAAUUGAAGUAUUUUAUUAGCAAAGGGGGUUUUGUUCUGCAGCAAGUCUUUUACCUGUGAUGACACCGAAAAAUAUAUCACAGUGGACUUAUAUUAUAGCGACGAAAAAGGCACUAACAGGACACAAGCCGAUGAAGGAUUGCCUCACACUGCUAGUUUUUGCUAAUGCUAGGUGGGAUCUUUAAAAGUUCCUCCAGAUCAUAUACACAUAGAGUACAGUAGUAUCUUUUCUCAGACCCGCAACAUUCUAAAGUCAUACAGUUUGGAAACAAAUUUGGGGUAAAAUACCUAACACAUACAACACAUUAACAUAUCUUAAAAGACUCCAAAUUAAAGGACUAACUCAAUUGGCGUGUUUAGAAUUUUCUUUGGCUUUCCACCACAUGAUGGCAACCAUUGAAGCAGACAUGGUUAAGUGGUGUAAAGAAAGUAACAUGGUCACAUCUCUCCGUCCUCGGGACUCAUUACUAAAAAGGUUACAAUCAGUCCAAAGAGAUAAAGAAAACAACAAGUUAGCGCUUAAGUAAAGAGUAGAGAAACUCGCCUCCCACAUUACACUUCAUCACAUCAGUGUCACUCUUUUAACACAUUUUUAUAUACAGGGAUUAACUUAUUUUUACACUUGUAUGAUAUUUAAUAAUGCCAUUAUCAAGCCUGAAUGCUAUGCCGGGAGGUCAAGUGACAUGCCAUCAACAACGAAUGAGUGCUUCUAUUUCACUAAAAAAUGCAUAAUUUUACUUGGCGAAUAACUUCUUUUUACACUUCCACUGUCGUCAAAGGAGGUUAAGAAGUACCUUGGGCUUGCCAAAGGAUGAAUACUUUCUGAGUUAAAUGUAAUGACAGUUUGAUUUCCAGUAGUAAAAUAUGUUUUACAUGAGAAUGAGGAAAAUUAAAGAGUCACUUUACAAAAAAUAGUUACAUUGCCUGUAGAAUUAAAAAUGUUUUACAAUGGAAACAGUUUGAUCUUGAAGCAGACUACUUAUAUUUCUAUUAUUUCUGAUUGCAAAAUUUGAAAUACAAACAAAUGAACACCC